AUCUAUUUGACGCACAAAUAUAAUAUAUAUAUCUUAUAAUCAUUAAGAUAAUUCCCGAUAUAUGUGGAAUAAAGUCAACCGAAAGUUGCAAAAUCUUUAUAUUAUGAACAUACAUACAUACAUAUGGGGUAACAGAUUGCACAAACACAUUGAAACAUUUUCAGCUGUUCACUGACACUGUUAACUUGGGCAAUGGGAGAAUACAUAAGUAAGAUAGAGAAAAACUUUCGACAUUUGAAACAUUUGGUAAUAUUAACUUGCUGGAAUAGGAAAGACGAAUACCCAAUUUUUCAAGAAGGAGAAAACGAAAAGUGCAGUUUACUUUAAAUUUUAAAGAGAAAGCGAAAAAGCUGAAGAAGGAGAAAUAGAGAAUCAUUUGGAGCAUUUAGAGCAUUGGGACAAUUCAAAUAUAUAAUAUUACGAUUUACAAAAAAUUAAGAUACAUUUCCUGACAAGAACAAUCUGUGGGGAGUUCCAGAGAUUUUCCAGACGUUUUAAACAAAAAACACAACUUAAG